GAUGAACGCUGGCGGCGUGCCUAAUACAUGCAAGUCGAGCGAACAGACGAGGAGCUUGCUCCUCUGACGUUAGCGGCGGACGGGUGAGUAACACGUGGAUAACCUACCUAUAAGACUGGGAUCACUUCGGGAAACCGGAGCUAAUACCGGAUAAUAUAUUGAACCGCAUGGUUCAAUAGUGAAAGACGGUUUUGCGGUCACUUAUAGAUGGAUCCGCGCCGCAUUAGCUAGUUGGUAAGGUAACGGCUUACCAAGGCAACGAUGCGUAGCCGACCUGAGAGGGGGAUCGGCCACACUGGAACUGAGCCACGGUCCAGACUCCUACGGGAGGCAGCAGUAGGGAAUCUGCCGCAAUGGGCGGAAGCAUGACGGAGCAACGCCGCGUGAGUGAUGAAGGUCUUCGGAUCGUAAAACUCUGUUAUUAGGGAAGAACAAAUGUGUAAGUAACUAUGCACGUCUUGACGGUACCUAAUCAGAAAGCCACGGCUAACUACGUG
rnacentral:rRNA from 1 species